AGGGGGUGGUUCUUGUUCUAUUGCAACUGGUAUGGCUUGGCUGGUCAAAUGGCUUACUUAUUAACAUUUCUAUGAGGUUUAUGGCUCUUGACAUUCUACAUUAUGACCCAUUUUAUAUUGGCCUUUCUUUGUGAAGACCGGAUUAGUCGUCAGUUGUACAUGUAUGAAGUUCUACCUGAAUCUGUAUGUGUUGUGCUAUUAUUGAUUUUGUUAAUGGGUUAUCAAGUGGUGCAUCUGUGCAUCUGUUAAAAGCAGAAAUUAGGAUAUUAUUUAUCAAAAUUUGAAAUGUGUGUGUAUGUGGGUAGUUUUUGUAGAUAGGACAUGGUGAAAGAAUAAUGUAAAGAAAGCACCACUGACAUGUUGCAAUGUUCAAAAUCCUAUCAGCUUUCUCGGUCUAAGAGUGGCUCUACAUAUCAGGUUUUUAGCGCUAUCCUACAAAUUUUAACAGCAGUUUCUAUAUCUUAAUGUUCUUUACAGCGGUAUCUCAGUUGAUAGCAGACAUAGAUUCACAGAUUUUCUGGUUUAUAGAUGUGCAGUGGAUGUGAUGUAAAACGUUUAAAUGAUUAUGUUGAAAGAUUGUACUAAUGCUCCAGGGAAAAGAAUAGCUUCUUUAACGUGUCAGUUUGGAAAGGAGGUUUUUACAUUUUACUUUUAUGUUUCUACUGUUAGUCAAUUGGUUUGCUAGUAUAAAGUUUUUGUUUUCAAGUAAUCUGUAGUCUUUUGUCAGAAUGUUGAAAAGAAAUCUAAAAAAGUUUGCACUAAUUCCAGAACUACAACAUGCUGCUUUGACAAGAUACAGGAAUAGCAAGAUAUUGUUGGAAACAAGGUAACCCAGUAAACAGAUAAGCCAACUUGCUGCUUAAUUUGGACUCUUCUUGUAGAUUUAUCCAGGAAAAAGUGCACCAGCAGAUGCUAAAGGAACAAGUUCAGGACUUCAUUAAACUGCUGAGUACCUUCAGGGUCAGUAUUUAAGUUUAACGAAGUUAAAGUGCCUCAAGUUCCUAGUCUGUGUAAUGAAGACCAGGCUCAGGAAGAGACGUGGAACUCAGGAAGUAAAAGUUGAUAAGGGAACAGAGAAACCAUCAGGGAGCAAUAUGGAUGUCGUUGCUUUGAAGGAAGAUGUCAACAGUCAAGAUGAGAGCAUUGUCAUCGAGGGAAAGGCUACCUCAGAGCCAAGUGAGCAGCAAGUGCGUUACACGGUCCAGGGAAAUGAAGAAGCUGAAAUGCCAAAUGUCACUGGAGAGGGACAGCAUCUUAAUGUUACAAAGGAGCUGAAAAAGAGAAAGCGCAGUGCAGAUGUCGAAUUUGCUAUCGCAUCUCCUACUGACAAAUGUUCAUCCAGGCUUCGCCCAAGGAAGGAGGUACCUUCACUCCAGACGGUGGAUUUGAAUGAGAAUGACAUUGAAAGGAUUGUGGGGAUGAGAGAAUAAAGGUUUACUGGCCAGAUUCGCAAAAAUGGUUUGCAGUAAGAAUUAAAUCCUUCAAUAGGGAGAAGAUGCUUCAUACUGUAAACAAUGAUGAUGGUGACGUAGAAGAGUUGCAGUUGAAGAAAGAGAAAUUUGAACUUGAGGUCAAGCCUAAGGAUGGUUUUCACAUAAAAGCAGAACUUCACUCUAGAAAAAGGAAGAAGGAUCUCAGUGGUGAUGUGGUUGGGAAAACAAGUAUUAGCCAAGAGUAUGUUAAGGCCAAGGAUAAUGCAAAUAUAGAAGGAGAAAGCAAAAAGGAUCUCGGUGGAGAUGUGGUUGCCAAUGUGAGUUUUAGCCAGGAGUAUGCUAAGGUCAAGGAUGAAGCAGAGAUAGAAGGAGAAAGCAAGAAGUAUCUCAGUGGUGAUGUGGUUGCUAACUGGAUUUAUAACCAAAAGUAUGAUAAGGUGAAAAAUAAUAGCGAGAUAGAAGGAGAAAAAUAAUAGCGAGACAGAACGAGAAAGGAAGAAUGAUCUCGGUGGCGAUGUGGUUUCCAACACAAGUUUUAGCCAGGAGUAUGAUAAUGUCAAGCAUAAUUCAGAGAUAGGAGGAGAGGGUCCUAAAACUGCUGUAUCAAAGGAAGAUGUGGAAUCUAAUCCAGGGGAACAACAACCAGCUGAUAACAACAGUGAGAGAGAUGAGAAUCAGGUAGGUUCUGCAAGGCAAAAUGCCAGGUUCACUGAUGUAGAUGGAAGCAGAAAGCGUUGAGUUGCCAGGAACAGACGCAAGUGACCACUAAAUUAUUGCUGAAACUAACUGAAAGAGGUUGAACACCAUUUCUAGCAAGUAAGCCUGCUUCUGAAAAUUUUGUCUUUACUCUUAAAGGAUGCCCUUGCAUGGUGGUUCUCAUCCUGCUCUUUUCAUUGCUUUAUAUUCAUGCAUUCAGUAAGUAAUUUUACAUGUAACAAUUAUGCACAUAACACUUGUCCAUUGAUAUCUAAAAAUAGCUGGGGACUGUUUGGGUUUUUGUCUCUGUCCUGGACCCAUGAUGCUCAAUUAAUACUGAUGAACAAUUUUUAAUUGUCAUAUAAAUGUGUCUGUGUUUUGACAGACUUUUUGUUUUGCAUUUCCUGUGGUAUGAAAGAGAAAUGUCCAUCCUUUCUCUAAUAAUAGAUGGGAAUUGAAUCGUGCUAUGCUUGAGAUGGGUAAAAACUGCUAAAUGAGGAAACUUACCGGGAGAGUGAAAGCUGAAACAUUAGGUGACUACCAUCCUUAUGAAUCAUUUUUGUCAUCCUAAGAUGUGUCCUUGUCCUAGCAGACUUGAGUGUUUGACAGAUUGGCUGAACUAUCAGCAGGAAUUAGAGAACAAUUACCAUGGCUGCCUCUUCCUACUAUUUCAGGUGAAAGAAAGACUAAUUAAUUAAAUUAUAAUUAUUCCUGCCAUCAGAAUAGAUGUAAUCACCUGUGAUUUUGUCAUCACGGAAUCCUCGGCCCAAUUUUUGCUCAAACAGAUAGGCUGUAGCAGUUGUGCUUUGUACUGCCUUCAACUGAAUCUAGAAAAUGGAGUUUUUCCCUUGGUUGGACCCUGAUUGCUCAGACCGCUAUUGGAUCCUUCAUCCUUAUGAAGUGUCUAUAACCAACUGUCUGUUUCACCCAUUACCAUAGCUAGGUUGAUCAGCAAGACACAAUGGUACAUUCAUGUGCACCAACAAGAGAUUUGAUUAGUUUGAUUUGUAUGGUUCUGUAAUUUUAAGUGAAAAUUUCACAUGGAAAUAGUAUCUAAAGAAUGCUGAAGGGCCAGAGCAAAGUGAAAGAAUUCUGGCAAGGUUUUGUCAACAAAUAAGAAGAGUGAACUGACAAGCUUAAUAUAGAAAUUAAGAAAAGAAAUGGAGAUGCAAAACGCCGUCGGAUUGUUGAUGCUUCUUUCUGGAUCCUUUUGCUGUCAAUGACUAAUGUAAGAGCCGGAGUCAUCAACCAACUAAUGCUGCGACUUCCAAAAAUAAAAUUUGCAUUGUGUUUCCAAUCUACGCAGAAAAGGAACCAAGGAUAUUAAUGUAACCAACUCUGGAAAAUGCUACAGUAAUUCAGGAAGUAUAAUAAACACUUGUCUAUACACGAGUAGAGAUACAAUUUGUAAAGCCAAAAGUGAAAAAAGAAUAAAGUUCGUCAAGGCUAGCACACACAACAUAUUACAAUGAAAUUGUUGCCUAUUUGUGGAACUAUCCGCUCAAUAACACGUUUCAGCUUGUCUAUCUGGAUCAAAGGUUGUAAGUGUGGGAAAUAAGAAAGAGCCUUUAUAAUAUCUGUUCUCAACAUGUCCGUUUCCUCAUAAAGAACUUCUAUGAUACAAAUUUGGAAACUACCAAGAGAAUUACAUUUGUCUAAGGAUAGCAAGCUUGUAGUUUUCAUGUAAAAUAUCAAGUUGACCGAUCAAAAAGGAAUUUGGGCUGCCAAGAUCAAGUAGUUCUGACAAAGAAAACUGGUGAAAUAAAAGCUGCAUCAUGACCCAUUUACCAAAUGAAAUGCAUGAACUAUAUUGGCUUGCCUGAUUCCUGGUCAGAAGUGAACAUGUAAUCGGAACGAUGUUAGUUGAACAUCACUUCCUAUUUGUCUUUACCUGUGCCGGCCCCUCUUCCUGGGUUUUUCCUCCCCCUUCUUAAUUAUGCCAUUUUUUCUUUUUUUGGUUGAGAUUGAGGAAUAAGACCAGUAUUUGCAUUUUCAAGGUCCCUAUUCUUAAUAGACACCAAAACUGUUCUGACUUGUGAUUCUUAACAUAGUUUAUUCUUUACACUUUCAUGCGUGUUUUAUCAUGUUACUAUAGAAUUCAAAUGCAUUUGAAACAAGAUUUUGAUUAGGUUAGUAGCCCUUCACAAUUUUUCUCACCCUCUAUUGGCUGGAAGUUUCAUAAAUGUUUUCAAUAAUUUGUAUUCCUAUAGCAGCAUUAAAUAGAAUUUAUUCGGUAAUCUGAUAGAGUCCACGAACAACUACUUAGCUGAAAGAAAGUUUUCCGUUUGUGAUGAGCCUAGGGAACUGCAAGUUUAGAACUUAGGUUGCAGGACCCAAUGUGCUCCACAAUGGCUUCAAAUCUAUCAGGAAAUCUUUGAAGUAUCUUGCGAGGAAAGAAAAGAAAAGGAUUGUCAUUGUAAAUUUUACUGGUCCACUGAUACAAAGUCAUCUAUGGUGUGAUAAAUAAUCAAGAUUACUUUUGACUUCUUCACUGAUUUUAUGGGGAUUCCACUGCAUUCUUUUUAAUUCUCUGUUUCGCUGAUUUUAUGGUGAGUCCACUGCAUUUUUAAUUUUCUGUUUGCAGAAGAAUAUCUCACACGACAUGGAGAAGCCCCUCUACUAGACUUUUUACUUCUGGUCCCUACAGAAUGCCAUCCACCAGAAUCCUGAAUGUUGGAAGGAUGAUAUGCGACAUAGUCGAGUCCUUUUGCUUUUUGUCUGGAAACCAGAUGAAGUGCAUGGUUAUAUCAUUUUGAAAGAAACCUUAGGAUUAACUUGUUUAUGAAGUAGACCAAUUCCGCAAGUAUCUACCUGUUUACCUGUUUAUGUUGUGAAUCUCCUUUGAAGUAUGAACUAUGUAUAGUUAUAUUUUGUGUAUGAAUCUACAUUAUUCUUUCAAGUUAAUACUUGUGUUGAUCUCUUC